rnacentral:rRNA from 1 species
GAUGAACGCUGGCGGCGUGCCUAAUACAUGCAAGUCGAGCGAACAGACGAGGAGCUUGCUCCUUCGACGUUAGCGGCGGACGGGUGAGUAACACGUAGGUAACCUACCUAUAAGACUGGGAUAACUUCGGGAAACCGGAGCUAAUACCGGAUAAUAUUUCGAACCGCAUGGUUCGAUAGUGAAAGAUGGCUCUGCUAUCACUUAUAGAUGGACCUGCACCGUAUUAGCUAGUUGGUAAGGUAACGGCUUACCAAGGCAACGAUACGUAGCCGACCUGAGAGGGUGAUCGGCCACACUGGAACUGAGACACGGUCCAGACUCCUACGGGAGGCAGCAGUAGGGAAUCUUCCGCAAUGGGCGAAAGCCUGACGGAGCAACGCCGCGUGAGUGAUGAAGGUCUUCGGAUCGUAAAACUCUGUUAUUAGGGAAGAACAAACGUGUAAGUAACUGUGCACGUCUUGACGGUACCUAAUCAGAAAGCCACGGCUAACUACGUG